rnacentral:rRNA from 1 species
UACAGAGGGUGCAAGCGUUAAUCGGAUUUACUGGGCGUAAAGGGCGCGUAGGUGGUUGUUUAAGUGAGAUGUGAAAGCCCCGGGCUCAACCUGGGAACUGCAUCUUAUACUGGGCAACUGGAGUACAUGAGAGGGUAGUGGAAUUUCCGGUGUAGCGGUGAAAUGCGUAGAUAUGGGGAGGAACACCGGUGGCGAAGGCGGCCACCUGGACGGAUACUGACGCUGAGACGCGAAAGCGUGGGUAGCAAACAGG